AAAUAAAAUAAAAAGGAAGUCCAGAAUAGAAAAAAAAAAGAGCCGAGCCCAAACAUCCAAAUUUCUUAGGGUUUUUUCUCCUUUUCCAAAGAAAAGCCAAAGCUGCAUUUACCCCCUUUCAAAUGGUGCGGCACAGGGAAACCAGGGGCACCACCCCAACUCCGGCAAACUCCUCCCGGUCGUCGUCGUCAGGAUUGUUAACAACGUUACCCGCGUCGGGAGCGUCGUCGUUCUUCGCGGCACUCUACUUCUUCGUCGUCUCCCGCGUGCACGGCCCAAUCCCGCCACCAACGUUGCGCCGCAGACAUCGGCAACCGCUUCGACUCCGCCGCCACCGACGCUCAUCCAAGGAUGUGGUGUCUGUAGACCGCCGCUCUUCGUUGUCGGUGAUCCUUUCUUUUCUUAUUUUUUGCUCUGAUCGGGGUUCGUGUGCAAGUGAUAUUUUUAUGACCCAAAAAUGCAAAAAAAUGAUGGACGAAUUGAAAUGAUACUUUAAUGGUCCGAAGUUGACAAAGAUGAUGAAACCGCUAUGUUUUACUGUUACGUUUUUGGUCUUGCAGGAAAGUGAUUUUUGGGGUUUUUUGGUGGCAUCAGUUAGAGUUUGAGGUUAAUGGUGGGGUUCUAUGUAAUUGGUCCUCUAUUUUUUAUUAGAGUACUUAGAGUUCUACAUGAUGGAGGGGAAUGGUGGCUUCGUAGUUGCGCAAUAGUUGUGAGAAAGUAUAGGGAAGGCCAAAAACCUAACCUAAGUUGGUGGUGGAUGAAGGGAAAACAAGGAUACAGUACCAGACCGCGCAACAGACAAAGUAACUCCCCGAUAUAAUUACAUAGUUUAAUUCAAACACCAGCGGGCAUUAUCAAACCAAAUUGGUACUGGACACGAUGAGAUACCUGAAGAAACUCUUCUUCCUUGUCUUCCUCUUUCUAAAUGUGGCUUUUGUUGCUUUGUGUUGAAUGGUGGUUGAUGGAUGAUCCCGUCGACAAAGGGAGUCAAAGCUAGUUGGGAAUGUUGUUGAUGUUGAGUGGGAGAAUCGGGUUCUUUUGUGCACUCCUGAGUUCCCCUACUGUGGUUGCUGUGAUAAGGUGAAUGGCGUUAGUGCUGGAGGUCCUGGUAUCAGGAGCUCUCUCCUCAACUGGUUCGGUAUUAGUGAUGAAUCUUCAAAGUUCAAAAUCCGUUGGCCAGAAACUUGAGGUAAGUGUGGGGAGCAGAGAAAAUUCAGAGCCAGAGGGAGUUCCUCUAGUCAGCGAGUAGUAGUGAGAUCCUGAUAGAUUUUUCUUCUUCCAAUGAAAAAUGCUUUGGCAGAUGCUAAGGUCAGAAGGCACCUGCCACUCACACUGCCAUUAGCCACCCUACUUCCCCUCUCCUGCUACUCACCAUCAAAACGAGCUCUUUCCACUUGCGGUAAUAAGCCCAAGAUAGUGUAGGUGCUGAGCAAAAGAUUUGUAUCCAAAAAUAGGAGAUAACGUAAAGGUUUUUGAUAGAAAACGUCUCUUUGUGAUUGAAAAACUUCGACUGUGAUUGAAAAACUUUAUCUUGAAAGAUCCAUCUGUUAAAUCCAAAUUCAAAUAGGUGCGAAUGAUGAAAAUGGUUCUGUCGGCACCUUUACCGUUUA